GGCGGGGCAGCCCCGGUCCCGCUGGUCAGCUGCGGGAGGUGCACGUCGGGCACGGGCCAGGCGCCCGACCCGCAAGCCUGGAGCUUGAAGCCCCGAGAGUCCGACUGUGAGGAGCACGGUCGUACGAGGCUGGAGGGACCUCGAGAGUUAGGCCACGCUCUGCGAGUACCGGAAACCUGUGGGGACCGAGUGGCGCUGGCACACCUGCGAUGGCGAACUCACCACUGUGCGAGUGAGAGUGAGCCACGCCUUCGCCGGACUGCGCUGUCCGUUGGUUCUUUGGGAUGCAAGCGACAGCCUUCCCUGACGCACUCGGGGUGCUGUGUGCCAAGUAUUGUGAGCGUGCCCCGUCGGUCCUGUCGCGGAGUCACCCUCGCGGGUGAUUCGUGUGUCAUUCUCUCCAUUUUGCAGAUGGGUGAACUGUAGCAGAGAUUGCUUAAAUGGGCUAGGAUCUGAAUUUAGGACUGCCUGCCUUUUCCCGCUGCUCCCUAAAGCAGAAGUUGGGGUCCUGCGUGGAGGACGUUACAGUAAAGCUUUAUAGGAAGAUGCCAGACUCCUGACCAUCAGGACAGCUUCUUGAAGCUCAUUAGCCUGCCCCUAGGAGGUCAGGCAGGACGGUGUACUCAGUCCUCACUCAUUCCUGAGACCUCCCAAACAUCCUUGUAGUGCACUGUAAUCCUUCAUACUAGCAGACUAAAGAAGGCAUAAUGAAAUAACCCGGUGCAGGAAAAUCACUUGACAAAAUUCAGAGGCCAUUCAUGAUAAAAGGAAUCUGUAAACUAGGAACAGAAGGGAGGGAGCAUCAUUACCCUGAAUGGGGGCAUCUAUUAAAAAGAAGCACCUUGGGCCGGGGAUUUAGCUCAGUGGUUCCAGCGCCUGCCUUGCAAGCAUAAGGUCCCAAGUUCAAUCCCCGGUACCAAAUAAAUUUUUAAGCAUUGAUCCUGCUGCUUAAAGAAGCACCUAAAGCAAAUAUCAUUCUCAAAGGUGAAAAACUGAAUGUUUCCCCUCUGAGAUGGGGAACGAGGAAAGGACAUCCAUUCUCCUAAUUUCUAUUCAAUACUGUAGUAGUAGGCUGGCAAUAAGGAAAGAACAGCAAACAAAAGACAUAUGUAUUACAGCAAAGGAAGAAAUCAUAUAGUCCCUUUCACAGACGAAAUAGUAAUAUAUGCAGAAUAAUCUACAGAGAUGCUUCUAGAAAUAAAUGAGUGUGGGAAGGUUGCAGGACUUACUGUCAACACAUGAAAAUCAAAUUGUAUUUCUAUACUGGCAGUAAAUGAUUGGAAAUUGAAAACAAUUUACAUAGCAUUUGUAAUAGUUUAAAAAACAGAAACAAGCACAAAUCUACUAAAUGUUCGCAGGACCUGUACCCUGAAAAGUAUAAAACACUGAUGAAGAAAAAUCAGAGAAGACCUAAUAGUAAGUGGAAGCCCCCUGUCGGCUGGGCUCGUGGGCUGGAAAAUUCAGUGCAGUUAGGAUAAAAUUCUUUGGUAACUAUUCUCAUAUGUUCUGUAUAAGAUUUAACACCAUUCCAGCUGAAAUUCGGUCAACAUUUUUUUGUAAAUGCAGAUAAACUGGUUCUAAAACAAAUUUGAAAAACAUCAGUGUUGGAGGACUCACACUAUCUGAUUUUUAAAAUUACUAAACAGCUAUACUAAAUGCACAGCUCAACAAUCAGAGUAAAAAAAUCUAUAAAUAAGCUCAAUCAAAAUGGUCAACUGAGCCGGGCAUGGUGGCACAUGCCUGUAAUCCCAGCACUUGGGAGGCUGAGGCAGGAGGAUUACUGUGAGUUCAAGGCCUACCUGGGCUACAUAGCAAGACUCUGUCUCAAAAAAAGCUGAUUCAGACAAAGCUCCAAAGGCAAGUCAAUGAAGAAAAGAUAAUUUUUCACCAAAUGAAGUUGAAAAAAAUUAGACAUCCAUAUGCAAAACAAGCCUUGGCUGUUGUGAUGAUCUGUCCUUUAUUUAGACCUCCACCACCCUUUGGCUUCGUAAUUCUGAGUCUGAAAUUUUUCAGUGCAGAGUGGUGGGGGAGAGGAACAAAAGGACUCCAUUUUUCAUUCUGAACAGGAAUCCCUGGGGACUGAAAUCUCAAAGUCGGGUCAGUUGGGCCUCGGAGAGCAGCCUUCAGGAGGUAAAAAAACACAUGUGAAUGUGUAAUAGAUAAUGUGAAAUAGGAAGAAAAAGUCAAAAGGGAAAGGGGAACUACUGGGAGGGGUAGAGGAAAGGAAAGAACCAGUAUAUCAUGCCAAGGUACAAAUUCCCAAUGAUGAAUGUCAUCAUAUACCUAAAAUGUACCAAUAAACUUAAUGAAAAAAAAAAAGAAAACACGUGGCUUUUAGGGGCCUGUGCUCACUAAGGAGAGCAACCACAGAGCCAGGUUGGCUGGGAAGCAGGGUCCUUGAGGGGCUAGUGGGUCUCCAAGAACUGGAGUAGGUCUCGGCUCAUGAGCACUUGGCAGGAAAACUGAGCCCCCUGAGUCCUGUUUGACAUGGCAGCAAAACAAGUGGUAACUCAGUGGAUUUACUUAGAUUAAGAGAUAUGGCCCCUGGUGAGGUAUGACCAAAUCUAUGACACUAAAUGGCUAAAAACCAAGCUAAAGGCUGUAACUAGAUGUCUAAAUAUAUCUUGUCCGUAUCUCACCACAUAUUUGCCAUAUUUUGUGUUUGUUAUUAUGUGUAUAUAUGUUGCUGUGGCUUGAUUGUUUCUCCCAAAAGUUCAUAGGUUGGAAUAUUAAUUCCUCAAAGCAGCAGUGUGAGAGGGUGGGGCCUAGUGGGAGGUGUCUGGGUCCUGGGGGUGGAGCCCUCCCAAAUGGAUUAACACUGUCUCCCAGGAGUGAGUUCUCACUCUCUUGGGACUGGAUCAUUUACCUUGAGGGUGGGUUGUUACAAAGUAAGGUUGUCCCUUGUAUUACUCAUCUUUCCAUCUCUGGGACAAAAUACCCAACACGGGAAAUUUAAAGGAGGAGAGGUUUAUUUUGACUCAUGUUUUGGGAGGAUUCAGUCCAUGGUUGACAGGUUCCAAGGCAGGAACAAAAUGGUAAAAGGGCCUGGGAGAGAAAAGCUGUUUACCCCAUGGUGGCCAGGAAGGAGAGAGAGGAGGGUUAAGCCAGGGACAAGAAUAUACCCUUCCAGGUCACACACACAGUGAUCUCCCUUUCUGACCAGGCCCACCUCCUACUAACAGCAUGUUCAGCUUUGAACUCAUCAGUGGAUUAAUUUACUGAGGAGCAUGGUACCCAUGAUCUAAUCACCUUCCAAAAGGCCCACCUCUGACUCUGUGAGAAUUGGGGGACAUUUUAGGUCUAAACCAGAACACCCCUCAUGUUCUCUCUUCCCCACGUCUGCUUCCUUUUUAGCUUUCUGCAUGGGUUGAAGCGACUCGAGGCCCUCAGCAGAAUCACGCAGACUCCAGCACCAUGCUCAUGAAUUUCCCAACCUCCAGAACCAUGAAUCUGAACCAAACUCUAUUCUUUGUAAAUAACCAGGUCUCAAGAAUUCUGUCACAGCAGCAGACAUAUGUAUAUUAUAAAUACAGCCAGGCCUCCAUAUCUAUGGGCUCUAUAGCCAGGAAUUGAUUUUCAGUUAAAAAUAUUUUAAAACAUUGUGUCUGUGCUGAAUAUUGUGUACAAACAUAUUUUUUGCCAUUAAGAUAUAAUGACCAUUUAUAUAACAUUUACUUGUGUUAGGUAUUAAGUAACUGUAUCAGUCAGCGCUCCUGUUGCUGAGACACAGUACCCAACACCCACAACUUAAAGGAGGAGAGGCUUAAUUUGGCUCACUUUUUCACGGGAUUCAGUCCAUGGUCAGUUGGCUCCACAGCAGGAAUAUCGUGGUGGAAGUAUUGAGGGUGACUUCUUGGUGAGUCACUAGCUUGUCCAGGCUGGGUUGGAACCUGUGAUCUUGCCUCAGCCUCUCAGAGUCCUGGGAUUGCAGGAGCGCACCACCACGCCUGGCUUGGAAGGGAAAGCUUUAAGAGAUUCAGCCACCUCUGAAGAAGCCCUAUGACCGCAUGAGGCUUUGGGGAGACAUCCAGACACAAGACAUAACAGCUGGGGAACCUGCAUGGGACAUCCAUAGAGGGCGCCCUCUCGGAUUCACUGCAGCCUUGCAGCCCAAGGUGCGGGAACCUCUGGUAAGGCUGCUAACCUGUGACUCGUGAGAUAGUUGUGUGGCUUCCAGAAGUAUCAACUCUUAUGUUCCCUGCCCUUAGCCAUUUUUCUCUGGGCUGCAAAAUACACAAAGAGCUUACGUUUUGGCUUUGCAGUAGCACAGGCUGAAAAAGGGAAAGUAGUUGAAGAAGCCCUACUCACAUACUGUAUGGUGAACUUUAGAGGAUAAAUAAAACACCCCCUUUCCAGAUACAAAAGAGACACCUCCUCCUAUCCCAACUAUUUUGAUGCUGAUUAUCUGAUGAGCUUAGAUAUUUUCACGGAAGGAAACUAAUUUUGUUUAAUAUAUUAGCACUGAUUUUAUAUCCCUGGAGUGGGAAGAUAUUUCUGUGGAUCAGUCAUAAUGCUGGUCUUUCCUGUGUAUAGUUGUUUAUUUACUUAUUUAUUUAUUUGGAAACAAGAUCUCACUCUGUAGUUCAGGCUGGCCUUGAACUCAUUAGAUAGCCCAGGCUGGCCUUGAACUCCAAUCCAUCCUCCUGCCUCAGCCUCCCGAGUGCUGGGAUUACAGGCAUAAACCACCAUGCCUGGCCAGUUAUAUGUAGCGAGAUAAGAUUUCACCAUAUUAUCUCUGGAUUUGUGUAAUUAUAAACUAUUAAAAUAGUGAGUGUGGUCCUAUUUUUGUUGUUGUUGUUGUUGUUGUUAUUAUUUGAUUUUUUGAGACAGGGUCUUGAUAUGUAGCUCAGGCUGGCCUUGAAUUCACAGUGAUCCUCCUGCUUCAGCCUCCCAAAUGCUGGGAUUACAGGUGUGCACCACUACACCUGGCAGUGUGGUCCUUUUAAACAUAUUUGCAUCAUACUAGUAUAUAAAAGAUUAGUUUAGCCAAGUAGAAAUAUUGUUUUACUAAUGUUGAAUGUGUAUAGUAACUUGGAGUAGACUAAGGAUUUUUGCCAUUUAGACGAUGUAUAUAAAUAUCUAUCUUCAGAAUUUUGAGAUGCUUAAAAAUUUGUCUGUUGCUUUAAAAUAUAGCAUAAAUUAGCAAUAUACCAUAGCUGUUAAAAUCAAUUUUGCCACUUCAGGGAAUUUGUACUUCAAAGUCACACAAAAAAGUGGGCAAAAAUUCAUGGCAACUACUUCUAAUAAUAUUUAUAAUAACAAAAAGGGAAAUAUGUAUGGGUUUGGAUCUGGACUAAAAAGCAUAUGGUACACUUAUAAAAUGGAAGAUUAUGAAGAUAUAAAGGUAAGGUUGCCAGGGAUUUAGCUCAGUGUUUCUGCCGCCUGCCUUGCAAGUGCAAGGUCCUGAGUUUGAUCUCCGGUAACGAGAAAAAAAACCAAAAGUAUGAUAAUCUAUAAUUGUUUCAUUUCAAAUUGUGUCAUUUUGAGAUACUAUAUGGAAGCAAUCAUACAGUAUGAGAUGGGUUUUUACCACUUAGCAUAAUACCCUUAAUAUUCAUGCAAGUUGUUGACUUGUACAUAUUCCAUGGUGUGGAUGUACCACAAUUUCUUUGAUCAGUCCCAUAAGUAUUAUUGAAUCUUUGAGCUAUUUUCAGUUUGGUGCUAUUACAAAUGAAGCUGCUGGCCGGGGAUUUAGCUCAGUGGUUUCGCCGCCUGCUGUGCAAGCGCCAGGACCUGAGUUUGAUCCCCGGUACCCCCCAAAAAAGAAAAAAAACCAAAACAAAUGAAGCUGCUGUGAACAAUCAUGGACAGGUUUUGGUGUGAACUUAAGUUUUCAUUUUUCUGGGAUAAAUGCCCAAGAGUAUGCUUUGUAGGUUGUAAGAUAAGUGUAUGCUUAGUUUUUUGAAAAACUGCUAAAUUAUUUUCCAGAAUGCUGCACCCUUUUACAUUUCCAACCACAGUUUUCUUUUUAUACAGAAUGUUACAGACUACUGUUAACACAGUGGCGCUAGGCCAAAGGCACAUGAGAAUCUGAGACACUUUUCUUUUCUAGAGAAAUUUAAUAUAUAUUAGAUGAGGAGAAAAAGGCAGGUCAAUAUGAAUCUCUUUGCUGGCCCAUGCCACAUUUAACUUCUUAUUUUAUCAGAAUGAUUCUUCCAUCACUAUCCAGCUAACCCUUUCUUUGAAAUUUUUUUAAUUUUUAUUUUGAGACAGGGUCUUGCUAAAUCACUAAAUUGCCCAGGCUGAGCUCAAACUUGCUGUCUUCCUGACUCAGCCUCCCAGAUUACAGGUGUAUGCCUCCACUCCUGGUUUAGCCUAACCUUUUGUUGGAAGCUGCAGUGAACAAAUUGCACAGGCCACCUGACUGUACCUUUCAUCUCUGACCGAGAGUACCUUUGUACUCUGACCAAGGCUGCCUGAGGAGCUCAGGCCUGUUCUGGAAUGUUCUGCUCCCACAUUCUGAAUAAUAAAGUCACUGAGGGUUAGAGUCAUUUAGAACCGUCCUACCUCGGGAUCUUGUACCUGCACACCCCACCCUCAGUGCCAGGCUUUGGUUGUUAGAGCACAGGGUGAGGUCACACUCACCUAUGUUAGGAGACCCAGCUCCGGGGUCAUGCUGCCCUGUCCAAUUACUCAGCCUGAAUUUCCCCACCUGCACAUUGAGGGCACAGGUAACACCCAACAAUAUCCCCUAACAGAGCCUUUCAGUCACUGUGCAGAUAGAUAUGGUAGUGAACAAAGAUGUGGCCUUAAAGUGCCCCAAAGAGAAACCCCAAGUACACUGCUCAGCCCAGUCUUGGGCAUGUGGCUAGCAUUAAAGAAAUGUUUUUGUCACUUCAGUCAAACUCAAUACUCGUUUAUGGGCUUGAAUGGAAUAUAAAGAAGCCAGUGUGACACAUUUUGUUUACUAUUAUAUAUGCAUUUUUUUCUUUUUGUGCUGCUGGGGGUUGAAGCCAGGACCUUAUACAUGCUAGGCAAGUGCUCUACCACUGAGCUACAUCUCCAACCCUCCAACCCUGGCCUAGUACAUUCUUCAUUUUAGUUGGACAUUAAAUAUCAGAUUGUUAGGAGCUUGCUGGCUUCAUCUUGUCCCUAACAUCAAAUUAGUUACUCACCAAAUGCACUCAUUUUGUGCUUAAAACCUGGGAUUAAUUUCUGAACUUUGUAUCUUUUUUUUUUUUGGUACUGGGGAUUGAACUCGGGACCUUGAGCUUUGGAGGCAGGCAGCAGAAUCACUGAGCUAAAUCCCCGGCCCUGAGCUUUGUAUCUCGAACAUCAGAUUCAGGAAGGGUCUCUUGCAUAAAACUCAGAAGAAAGAUGCUGUUUAUAAACUUAUAAAAUGUCCCUUACUGAGUGUUCCAAGGUUGAUAUGUUACCAAAAGACUCCCGCAACAAUAAAGGACAAUUCCAUUGUUUAUAAAAGUCAGCACAUUUCAUAAAUACUUAAUCAGAAAUACGAAGUAUAGCAGGGGAAAAACCCUUUGAGGAAAUUAAUUUUUAAAUUCUUAAAAGGCCAGGGAAAUAGUCCAGUGGUAAAGUACUUGCCUAGCAUGUUCAAGGCCCUGAAUAGAGCCUCCAAAGGUACUGCAAAAAUACUGAGAAGAAGUCUAAAUUCUAAGCCAGUUGUUCAUUACCCAAAUUGGUUAAUGAGUGAACUGGUCACCUGGCAAACUGCUCUUUAGGAUACACGGCUCUGGUCCGGAGAGUGUUUGGGGGCAGAAGCAAUAUGGCAGCCAUGGCAGAACGGAGCACAUAGGAAAGGAAAAACAAUUUUCCUCAAUCCUUGUAAAUUCUUAGUUGGAACGGAUUCUUCUAACAGACAGAUUAACAAGAGAAAAAUAAAAGUUCAUUAACACAUAUAUUUCAAAUAUCCACAGGGGAUAUUCAAGGAGUGAGCAGUUCUUGAAAAGUUGGCUUUGAAUUCAGCUGAUGUAACGUUUUCGAAAGAGAACAGUACAUUUUUUGAAAGAGAAAAGAGAAAGGACUUUGAGUCCCACUUGCCAGUCACAGAUUCCUCCUGUGGCAUCUGAAGGGCUGUAGUCAUCUUGAGUGGAGAGAAAGGGGUUAGGAUACCUCUUCUUUCUGUAACUCUGUGUCCUGCCUUCAGGCAAGCAGUGAAGACAAAGAGCUUUCCUGCAUCUGCUUUCUUGUCAACUGCAGGCAGCUCUACUGUCUUUAUUUGGGGGCUGUUUGAGGGCGUCAUACUCUGAUCUCCCAUGGAGACAGGGCUUUAUUACUAUAGGGCUAGAUUACUAUAGGCCUAGAUUACUACAGGGCUUGGUGAGAAUGCCCUAUUGGUUGAGCGCAGGUCACACUCCUGCUUGCCGGAGGUGGUGAGAGGGAAUCAGGAGCCUCUCUGAUGUCCACAGGGGAAGUUGAGGCUCUGCUCCCCACUAGGACACAGACAACCAUGACGGGCUCCAAACAGUAACCAACAGAUGCUUGCUACAUUGAAUGAAUAGACUCGUCAGGUAACAUGGGCAGCAGUCACCGUUCAUGAAACACUCAGAAAUCUGUUGCCAGAAAUUCCUCAACCUCUGUUCAGCCUGAGUUUCUGAGGCAAAAAAUGCCCAUGCCAGCUAGGUAUGGUGGUGCAUGCCUGUAAUCCUUGCACUCUGGGAGGCUGAGAUACAAAGAUCACAAGUUUGAGCCCAGCUUGGGCAACUUAGCAAAACCCUAACUCAAAAAUACACAGAGAUGGUAGCUAGGGUUCUGGAAGCUGAGAUUUCUGGAGAUUUCACUGCUGUCAGUGCUCUUCACUUUUUUGACCUUUCCUGGGGCUAUACUGGAGAUCAGGAGUAUCUUUUUGGGGGGGAUGGGGAGGGACAGCCCAGACUUUGCAGUAACAAAGGUUAAUGUUCUGUCAUCUCGCAGAUCUAUUUCCCCAGGCUCUCCAAAAGUAAAUGUUACAGUGAUGAAAACGCUGGAGUCUGGGUUCUGGUUCAUUUGAGAGCCCUCACCUCUCAGAGUGUACCCUGGGAGCCCUGAGCCUCCUCUGUGGCCUGAAACUUCAUAAACUUCGGUUUAGGCUGUCAGCACCGAUUUAAAGAGAUUUGCUUUGUUCCUUGGCUUCUGAGAAAGAACUGACAGCAGGGCUUUGGGGGUUAAUGGUGAAACCUGAGCUGGCUUCUUCCCCCCUAGAGAGGCAGAGUGAGUCAGAUGUUUGCGCAGAAGGCUGUGGUGUCAAAUCCACACAUUCACAGGCCUUCUGCCUUUGCCACUUUAAACCAGGAAGGUGUACCGCAUAACAGUUUUAAUUGCUAAACCCUAGCUGCAAACCCCAAUCGCUGGAUUUUGCAAGCGUUGAGUGUGAACAGCUGUGAGCAGUGGCAGUUUUCUGCCAGGUGGGUUUAUUUGUUCCUUUGCUCAUCAUCUGCUUCCUUGUGUGUGCCCAAGCCCACAGCAGGGGCCUGGGCCAUUUGCUGCCUUUCCUUCUGGUCAGAGGCCACGGCCUCUCCUGCAGGUUUAGCUUCAUCCCUGCUCCUCGCUGAGUCCUGUGGAGCUUGUUUCCACCCUGCAUCUCCUGGGGACUGUGUGACCACUCGGAAUCUUCAUACCCGCUGGAGCUGGGCUGAAGCUCAGUCUACAAUUCAGCUCAGAAAACUGAGGCUCGGUGAGAUAAGAAACUUUGUUCAUGGUCACGAAGCAAGUGACAACAACUGGGACUUGAAUCCCAGGCUUCCUGAUGCUAGAGCCCAAAACCAUCUAAGCAAUAAUAUCUAUGACAUCCUGGGCUUGAGCUGCUGGUUGUGGAGAUUUCAGUCUAUGACUGAUUUGCCCCGUUGCUUUUGGACCUCUGGUAGCAUUUUAUGGUAGGACCAUGUGUUGGGGCCAAACUCUUUGCUUCAUGGCCGAGGCCCCACCACCCCCUCUGAGGAAGCACUCCGGUGACGUGAAGCCUUCCCACGACACCCCACCUCUUAAAGUUUCCACCACCUCACAAAAUUGACAAGCUGGGGAGCAAACUUCGACAUCUGGGCCUUUGGGGAACCUUCUAGAUCUAAACUAUACUAUGUAUACUUACAGUGGUUACAUUUUAUGGCUUGUAAAUUGUAUCUCGAAGAGGAAGGAGGAGGAGAGAAAGGAAAGAAAGGGAAGGGGGUGCCUGCCUCCCAAGCGCAAGGACCCGAGUUCGAUCCCCGGUACCAAAAAAAAAACAACAAAAGACAAACAAACAAAGGGAAGGGGAAAUUAGCCAGGAAGGGGGAUGAAAGGGCUUCUGGAAUAAUGGCGUUGCUAUGUUUCUUGAUUUCUGUGUUGGUUAAAAGGCUGUGUUCGUUUUGUGAAAGUCCAUGAAGCUGUCUGUUUAUGCUUUGUGCAUAUUUCUAUAUGAUGUUAUAUUACAGCAAGAACAUUUACUAAAAACAAUUCUGCCAAUAUGAGAACACCAUUUCUCCCCAGUUAUGACUGAAAUAUUUAAUGAUACUGAAAGUUGUUUCUUUGCUGGUUAUUAGUUUGUAUAAUCACAUCACUCUGCCAACUUAGUUUUACAGUGUUAGGAAUUUAGGUUUUGUGUGGCUUAAUACAGAAAGGGUUAUAAAAGAUAUAUUUAGCUAAUCACACAUGUGCCACAAGAACAUCACUGGAAGCCAUUGUCACUUAAUUAUUCACAGCAGUUAUCAACAUGGACAGUAUUCAGUGUGCAACCAAAAUAAAUGGAAGUUUUAAGAGGG